rnacentral:rRNA from 1 species
CAGGAUGAACGCUGGCGGCGUGCUUAACACAUGCAAGUCGAACGGAGUUUUAACGGAAGUUUCGGAUGGAAGUUAAGAACUUAGUGGCGGACGGGUGAGUAACGCGUGGGUAACCUGCCUCAUACAGGGGGAUAACAGUUAGAAAUGACUGCUAACACCGCAUAAUAUAGUGAAACCGCAUGAUUUUGCUAUCAAAUAUUUAUAGGUAUGAGAUGGGCCCGCGUCUGAUUAGCUAGUUGGUGGGGUAAAAGCCUACCAAGGCGACGAUCAGUAGCCGGCUUGAGAGAGUGACCGGCCACAUUGGGACUGAGACACGGCCCAAACUCCUACGGGAGGCAGCAGUGGGGAAUAUUGGACAAUGGGGGAAACCCUGAUCCAGCCGACGCCGCGUGAGUGAAGAAGUAUUUCGGUAUGUAAAGCUCUAUCAGCAGGGAAGAUAAUGACAGUACCUGACUAAGAAGCCCCGGCUAACUACGUGCCAGCCGCGGC